AGUGGCGGGGGGAGAAAGUAAACACAGCCGGCCGGCCCUGCCCGCGGACCGGCCGGGGCGGGAGGGGCUCCGCGCCUGACGUGAUGGGCCCCGGCGCGGCCGCCCCCGGGCAGGAGCACGCGGGGCGCGGGGCGGGCGGCAUCCUCUCCCCCGGCCCCUGCGCCGGACUCGGGCCGGCCGCGCGGGCGGCGCUCCCCCCUCGCCGACUGCGCGCCGCCCCCGGGGGGCGGCGGUGAAGGACCUGCCCGGCGCCCCGCUAUUUAUUCGCCCCCCACGCCCCCUUCCUCCUCCGCCCCGCUCUUUCCCGCGCCGCGGGCGGGCCAUGGCUGGCGGCGGCGCGGUCGGCCCGGCGGACGAGCAGUGAGGGUGGACGGAGCCCCACUUGUCGUCGGGGCGCGGCCGCACCAUGUCGGCCGUCGCGUACGUGGACUUCGUAGCGGCGCAGUGCCUGGUCUCCAUCUCCAACCGCUCCGCCGUGCCCGAGGCGGCGCGGCUGAAGGUGCCGGGCGAGGGGGAGGCGGCCCGGGAGCUGCGCGACCCCCGCGACGCCUGGAAGGACUACUGCGCCCUGCUGGCCAUCGCCAAGAGCCUGCUGGAGCUGAACAAGUACCGGCCGCUGCCCGCCCCCUCCGUCUGCAGUGACAGCGUGGAGAGCCCCGACGAGGACGCGGGCUCCGACAGCGACGCGGCCACCGAGCAGGGUUCCAGCCCGCCCCGCAGCCCCCCGCCGGGGCCGCCCCCCCGCCUGCGCGCCGCCGGGGCCGCCCCUAAGGGGAAGCUGGCGGCCGAGAAGCGGCACAAGUGCCCCUACAGCGGCUGCGGCAAGGUCUACGGCAAGUCUUCCCACCUCAAGGCGCACUACCGGGUGCACACAGGUGAGCGACCAUUCCCCUGCACGUGGCCCGACUGCCUUAAGAAGUUCUCCCGCUCUGACGAGCUGACACGGCACUACCGAACCCACACCGGCGAGAAGCAGUUCCGCUGCCCGCUCUGCGAGAAGCGCUUCAUGCGGAGCGACCACCUGACCAAGCACGCCCGCCGCCACACCGAAUUCCACCCCAGCAUGAUCAAGCGAUCCAAAAAGUCCAGCUCCAGCAGCUCCUUGUGAAGGCAGGGCUGGCCCUGGGUAAGGAGUGGAGAAGAGGCAGGCUGUGGCGAGGGUGCAGGCAGUGGUGCCAGAACACGAGCAUCCACUGCGGUGCCGGUCACCCUUGCUGUCCAAAAGCACAUGUAGCCGGCAUUAAAAAAACACGUACUCAGUAUCCCCCUCCCCAUCUUCCACCUCCUGGCUCUGCCCUGAGAACAGUCUGGAACAAGUGGACUGUGGGGUGAGAGGAGGGAAGGGGCAGCCAGGGAGAACCACCUCUUCCAAUGUAAUGUGUUGAUACUGGUGUACAUACAUGUGACUGGGCGGUCUGGCCUGUGCCACCACAGUAGCAUGACCCCAAAGUCUUUGUGAUUGCUGUGUCAUGAACAUGUUUUGUUGAACAGUGUAAUGCUGCUUGUAUUUAGAGUCUGUCGAGUAAAAACACUUUCCGAGUCACGUAAAUAACUCAGAUAAAAACUCCAUAGCACAUUGUAGAAGUGGGUUUACUUCUGUGUAUCUUCUGCGAUCCUGCACUUAAAGAGACUAUUAAGAGAAACAGUACAUAUGUUACCAAUAGUAUCUGACUGAUAUAGUGAGAUAAGGUGAAUUUAUACUCAAUAAGGCCCAUUAAAGUAAAUAGGUAUUUUUAACUUUUCUUUGUAUUAACUAUACUUUUGAAUAUCAGCUGGACUUUUCCAGUAAAAACAUGUAUGGUUCAAGAAAAUACUUAAAGCAAAAAAAUCCCCAUAAAGAGCUCAGUAAUUUUCUGACUGUGUGUGUAUUUAGCUCUGUUACUCACUUACCUGGAAAAAUUCAGCUCAGCCUCGAUAAUGUGGCGGGCAUGUGGGAGCUGAAGCAUAUGUCUCUCAUAUGAUCCCAUACUUUACUUGUCAGUAAUAUAGUACUGUACUACAGAAAUGCCACUAACAGUGCUUUAUUCUGCUGUGGUUUGUUUGAACGGGUGCACAAAGCAGCUACCACCUUUACAAACUGCUGCUGUUUUAAAGGCUUUUUCUCUUCCUACACUUGCCUUAAAGAUUUAUUCUCUUCAUACCAUGGCCUAACUCCCUUGGAGUCCUAUGGGAAUUGUGUGUGCUUAUGGAGAGAGUAGACCUUUUCUUAAGAGCACUCUGAUAACGGAAACACCUAAAAUUACUGUAAGGAGCACUUCGGAAGGGCUCCUGUAUCUCUUGAUUGCUCUUUCUCUGGAGUAUGGGGGAAUACCACACGCUAAUUUGAAAUACAGAAGGUGUCCUGCAAUACUCCUUUAGAACAUAAGCUUCUCUUAGUACUUUGUACCUGUGUCAUGCAUGGCACAUCAAAUGGUGAUAAAAGCAAUGUUAACUUUUAUUUUAAAGCUAUUUUUUUUAUCUUUAAAAGGAGCAGAAAGACCACUGAAUGAAAACUUCUAGAUGUGAUCAUUAGUGAAUAUUUCAAAUAUUUUUAUGUUAAAAGCGUGAAAUUUAAGAGGUUAUCAGUGAUAUAUUUUUUCCCCUCCCCAGCUGCAUAAUGGGGGAGAAUCUGUUUACACAUUAUUUUUUCCAGAAAUGUUCUUCUGUUUGGUUUUUACCCCUUCCUCCAGAAGAGGAAGGGGAGGUGCAGCCCUACUAGAGACUUAGGGCCAAAUUAAUUUUGUGAGUACUUACACUGAAACCCAAAGUGUCUCCACUGCAGAUGAAUUUAGGUCAUCUUGUAAAAUUUUGUAUAUAAAAGAUCUUGUUAGCACACCUGCAAUUACAGUAUCUUAUUGUUUUAUCUGAUAAAAAGCUUGCUUCCUAGAAACAAACAUAAAAAAUUAACGUGGAGAGUAGAGUGUUUUCCUCUACAGUUGUAUAUGGCUUUCAGCAUUAGAAAUCAGUUCGCAUACUGUGUUUUUACCUGUGUAGAGUUCAUGAUAGAUUUCGUCUAUGUGAAGAGAACUUCUUUUAAAGCAUUGGGGAUAUUGAACAGUCUAUGGAAUAAAAAGGGAUGUGUUUUCUUCAGUGAAGACAUCAGGAAACCAAGCACACUUUCUACCUCCGUUUCAGCUUUUUGAAACAUUUAUUUUAGAAACCAAACUUUAAUUUCUCGUAUUCAGAUUGAGUUAUAGGGACAUAGGUUCUUUAUAAUAAAACCUGGUAGUGUUGGUGUUUUUAUUGAUCAAGAUAUACAGAAAGUAUUCUGCUUACUAGUACUGUUAAUGCUGCCUUGUGGAGUAGGGUCAGGGCCAUGAGCAGCCCGAUGAGAUUCAAAGGUGCAUCUUUGUUCAUCUUUGUUCUUCUCUCCGAAGAUCAAGCUAGAUUUCAAGUCUCCAUCCUGCAGUCUGGAUUGCUGCCAUUUUGUGGGACAAAUACAGCACUUGGAAAAUUAAAGCCCGAUCCUGUGAAAUACAAGACAUCCUCACAUCCAGUCAACCACAACUAGAAGCCACAGCUGAUAAGCAGCUUCUAAAUCAGGUGUUUUCCCAGGCAUUCCUUCUUCCGAUACAGCAGGGAGACAGAGACAAAACUUGUACUCAGGAAAAAGUGUCCCAUCACCUGCAUGCUCCAGCUCCCAAGAAGUCUGGCUCCCACUGCUCCAUGGCUUUUGAGCUCAGAGUGGUGCUCUCCCUCACUCUGUGCAGCUGCUGAGUAGAAAAUGAGGCUUCAGCCACACUGUGGACUCUGCAGACACACUGCUGCCUUGAGCUUUCCAUGGCUUUGGAGGGUUCACUGGUGUACAGAGAUAAAAAGCAUCUGCUCGACUCUGAAAGGGAAUGGCAAGGUACCCUGUGCCAAAAAGCUCCCCGACAUGCACAAUCACGGGCAUCACAGUUACUGAAAGCACCCACUUACAGGAACUUAACCAGGUGCAGGGGCACAGGGCUUGGAUAUGACUGCAAGAUGAGCCCUGGACCCAAGGGAACAUGUAACCUUCCAGCAAUGCAGGUAGGGACAUAUGGGUGGAAGAUUGCCAUCUGCAGCUGGAACAAAACUUGUAAGUAGCUUCCAAAUUUUACUCAAUGCUGAGUUGGAGUUUUCUCUUCUUGUGUUGGAUGGCUAAAGGACAGAUAAAAAAACCUGCGCAUAAUGUUUUCUUUUUUCAGCUUGUCAUUGAUUUUAUGAAUAAGAGAGACAGGGCUGUGGCACUGGCUUCAUUCCCUUGCAAUCUCAUCAUAAAAGACUUUCCACAAAUUUACCAUUCUUUAUCUUAAACCUUUUAAUAUUUGGUUUUAGUUCUGUAAUUUGAACAGCUACCAAAAGCUGUGUAGUGUAGAGGAGGCUUUAGAAGGAGGAUUCCAACCACUGAGAUGCAGUACAGAGGGGUCUUGCCAGGAGUGGUAUAAAUUUUGACUAGGAAUGGGUACAUCAUGCAAAGUCUUGGGUGCACCAUGGAGGCAUUGACAGUUGGCAUGGGGAAGUGUGACCCUGAACACAGACCUGCUCAUUCUGAGAGCAUGGUUUCUACAAGGUUGUAAGGGUAUUCUGUAUUUUCAUUUUUCCUUUCUGCCAAGGAUAAAAGAAAGGAAACAUGCCAUAAAAUGUCUUAACAGUCUAGUUAAAUGACUGUAGAGUGGUUCAGAAAGCUGCUUACAAGGAAGCAUGGCUUUCUGAAUCUGCCUGCUGGUUGACCUGGAUAAUUUUGAUCUCCACAGGACUCUAUAACAAUGUGGUUCAGCACUCACUCUUCCAGGCUAAAGAGUCUGUGAGGUUUUAUUUAUGCAUCAGAGCUUUGUAACAACCUCUACUUUCUCAAUAACUUGUUUUGGAAACAAAACUUUCAGACUGAGCUCCUCACACUGUUCAGCCACAUUGGAAAAAUUUCUUCAGCAGUAAUUUAAUACAAAUGCCCAAUUGUCAGAACACUGUACUUACUCAAGUACUGUUUAUGGGACUCCCUUAAAGGAGAGGAAGCUUUCCCAAUGGGAAGAAUUUUUCAGCUACCAGGCUUUCGCUGCCAUGCUGUCCUCAGCUGAGAAACUCUCAGACCCCCAAAAACACCUCCUCAAACACUUCCACAGGUAUUGUGGAAAUCUUCCUGUUUCAAAGAGAUGAUCUUGACUGACAUCAGUUCUAAUCCUUAACAGACACUUAUUUCUGUAUGAUUACACACAUUAUUUUUCUGGCUCAUCCACGCUUUUGGGUAAAUUAGAGUCCCUAUUGCUUUCAGUUUGUAUUUUUGAAAUUGCUCCAACUAUUGCUGUAUUUUUACUGGCUUGUGACCUUCAACUGAUAAUUGAUAAACAUCCUAUCACUUCUCGUA